AAUAUAAAAAAACGACAAUCGAUUAAUUUCUAUGAUGAUCUCUAUUGAGUAUAUUCAAAAUGGCAGACAAGAGUUCUUUUUGGUUUUGUGACCUGCUAACUACCAGGUCUCAAAUUUGAGGCAAUAUUUUGAGACUAACGCUAGAGACUGUAUAGUGAAUAGUAACUAGUCACAAAUUGAGAUUUUACCUCAAAAUGUCUCAAAUAGAUACUAGAGACUGGUUACAGAAUCCCGCUAUUAUUUACCAACAGCAGAUUCCUGCACUGAACUUGAAAGCAUAAGCAAUCAGCUAAAAAUACGGCUCCAUGACAAUACAAAAGUAGGCAAUGAAUUAACGCUUCUCUAUACUGAAGAAAACCUAGAAAAGAUUUAGAGUUGAUUCACAUAGAACAUUUGCUUCGCUUUACUUCAGCCUUUUGCUUUGACACAAAAAAAAAACAAACAAAUUACUGAAGUGUUAGUGUAUAUAAAAGUUAAAAAUAUACCUACAAAAUUCAUUAUAAAUGGGAGAAACACGCAUUUUAAAUAGUUGAAUUUUUGAACUUUAAAUGCAAAUAUCCCAAAAACCAUAAAUCAGCGGCAACUAUAUAUGUAUAUACAUAUAUUUUCUUAAUCUGGAGGACCUCCUCUAUCCGUACAAACCCAAUUUAACCCCGAAAUAAGGGGAUGCUAUUCUAAAAUUUACCCGAUUUUUUACAACUUUCGACGUGGAAUAACACAUAAAAAGGGCAUAAAUGAACUUAAUUAAAUUUUUCAAGAAUCUGCAUUUAUCGAUAGCAUGGUAAAUUCAAUCGAGAUCAUACAUUAUUCCACGACAAAUUUCAGGAAGGUCGUCCUAUCCACCAGUAAAUAAUAUGUAUUAUUACGUAAAGAUUCGAACUCGCAUGCAUCUUUCUUGUGUAGCCAUAAUUGCAAGUGCGACUGUUUGGUCCAAUGCCUAUUUUUUAUAUUUUGUAAUUGAACGCGAUUUGACAACUCCUUGGCUACGAAACUAGUUAAAAACAGUGGGGUUACUCUGUAAGGCGUUGCGAAUAGCAAUGCGUUACGAAAGUGAAUUGCGUUGCAAAGGGAAAUCGGUACUCUGUAACACUUUUGCAUUGUAAACAGUGUUGCACUGUUUUCCCGUUGACAUAUUUCCAGUAUAGUUGACAUUACUGACCGAAACGAAGGAAAAUGAAAACAAACACAAUAACAGAAAAGUGAAAAAGUGUAGAAAAUUGACAGACAAACAUAAUUAAAUUUGAAAAGUUUUAUAUGCAAGUAAUUUUAAAUCAAUAAAAAAGGUGUGGAUAUGGAUUCCGUUGUGUUAUGGGAGGAAAACACAAAAGAUGAACGAGUUGAGCGGAAAAUUAUUAGGGAAAAAGUUUCGUGCAAAACUUUCGCUUAAGCAAGGAAUCAUUCAAAUAUGUGUUGGAUAGCAUACGUAGUGAGCUAAAAACUCCACGCAGGUCCACAGGAAUACCCGAAAUUGUGAAAUUACCGGCAACUUUAAAAUUUUUGGCGCAGGGAGGGUAUCAACAGUCAAACAGUUUCGCGUUGUGUGUUUGAAGUUUGUAAAGCAAUCGAGAAAGUGCUGUGUCCAAAACACAUAAGUUUUGCAAUGUCUUCAGAGGAGAAAAAUGAAGCGAAACGAGCUUUUUACUCAAUGUCUCGAAUUCCAGGAGUAAUUGGAGUGGUGGAUGGUACUCACAUCCAAAUUAUACGACCGGCAGUAAAUGAGCAUUUACUAUACCUCAAUAGGAAAUUAAAGUAAUCAUAGUAUAAACGCUAUGGUGGUAAGGCAAUUGUUUUUAUACUCUCGCAACAAAGUUGCUAAGGAGAGUAUUAUAGUUUUGUUCACAUAACGGUUGUUUGUAAGUCCUAAAAAGAGUCAGAUAUAGGGUUAUAUAUACCAAAGUGAUCAGGGUGACAAGUAGAGUCGAAAUCCGGAUGCCUGUCUGUCCGUCCGUCCGUCUGUCCGUCCGUCCGUCCGUGCAAGCUGUAACUUGAGUAAAAAUUGAGAUAUCAUGAUGAAACUUGGUACACGUAUUUCUUGGCUCCAUAAGAAGGUUAAGUUCGACAAAAUGGCGAAAACCGAAAACCUAUAACGUGUCAUAACUAAUCCAUAAAUAAAGAUAUUAAAUUAAAAUUUGGCACAAAGGAUCGCAUUAGGGAGGGGCAUAUUUGGACGUAAUUUUUUUGGAAAAGUGGGAGUGGCCCCGCCCCCUACUAAAUUUUGUGUACAUAUCUCGGAAACUACUAUAGCUAUGUCAACCAAACUCUAUAGAGUCGUUUCCUUCAGGCAUUUCCAUAUACAGUUCCAAAAUGGAAGAAAUCGGAUAAUAACCACGCCCACCUCCCAUACAAAGGUUAUGUUGAAAAUAACUAAAAGUGCGUUAACCGACUAACAAAAAACGUCAGAAACACUAAAUUUUACGGAAGAAGUGGCAGAAAGAAGCUGCACCCAGGCUUUUUUUAAAAAUUGAAAAUGAGCGUGGCGUCGCCCACUUAUGGACCAAAAGGAACUACUAGGCCGAUUUCAAUGAAAUUUGGCAUAUAAUAUUUUCUUCCCUGAUGACAUGUACGAAAUAUGGGUGAAAUCGGUUCACAAACACGCCUUCUUCCAAUAUAACGCUACUUUGAAUACCAUCUGAUGCCUUCUCUGUAUAAUAUAUACAUUAGGAACCAAUGAUGAUAGCGGAAUAAAACUUUACACAAAUACGGUAUUUGAAAAAUAUGUAAAUGACGGAUAAUGAAAUCUCGAUUAUCACUUUAUCAUGCGAGAGUAUAAAAUGUUCGGUGACACCCGAACUUAGCCCUUCUUUACUUGUUUAAUUUAUCUUUGUUUUUUUAUAAAUAUUGUUUCCAAAACCUAGAUAUGUGAUCAUAAGAUGAUAAUAAAAGCCGUUAACGGUCGGUUUGCUGGGGCGUGUCAUGAUUCACAUGUGUGGAAUUUGUCAAGCGAGCGCCAAUAUUUACAAACCAACUAUGUGAAUGGGGAAAUAGGAAUUCGCAUUCUUAGCGACUCUGGAUAUCCGCUUGAGCCAUGGCUUUUAACUCCAUACAGAAAUUCUGCUGUAAACUCUGCUGAAAGUUACUACAACAUAAAAUUUUCAAAAGCCAGAUUCCUUAUCGAAUGAGUAUUUGGAGUAUUAAAAGCGCGGUUCCGAUGCCUUUUAGCUGCUAGAGAACUACAUUAUGCCCCAGAAAAUGUGGUGCAAAUUUUGAACGUAUGUUGUGCUCUUCAUAAUAUUUGCACUCUUUUUAAUGUGGAAUCACCUGCCAAUAUAGCA